GGCAGUUAGGAGCCUCGUGCUCUUGGCUCACUUCAUAGCCAUCUAGUUCUGUGGCCUACCAGUUCUCAUCCUUUGAAUUCUUAGGUUAGACGAGAAGAUACAUGAGAUCUCUAAAUCUUCAGGUUUAAACGUAGAUGUCUUUCACUACACCAGAGUAAAUAGCUUAUUCAAUAUUCAUUUUAUGAUCGUUAUUGGACUUCGGCUUCCUACUGCCUUUCAAAUAGGCCAUCGCAAGAUUUUGUCCAGUAGUAACGCCAGCAUUCAUCCUUUAAUGUUCGUGCCCGUCUCCUUAGUGCUUGAUAGAAAGGAUGCACUUCUUAUGUUAGCAAUGCUUGUGGAGCCUUUGUGGUCAUUCUCAGACAUGCACAGAGUGGGGAAAAACAUUGAGUCACCUGGAAUCCACGUUCAGCUGAGGUUGAACCAGCAAUCCUGGAAUCAGGGCACUACGGGUAACCACAUUCUCACUUUACAAAUGAUAACUCACACACCCCAUGGAAGAUCCGGGAAGUCUUCUGAUGCCCCUGCUUUCCAAGACAAUAUGAUGCUUCUCUACAUUCCAUGGACUAUGACAACCCCUAUCUAAUCUGGCAGAAAAUCCUGUUGACUCUACCUUCAAAAUAUAGCCAGAGUUCAAUACUUCUUACCAUCUCCGUGUCUACCACCCUGGUCCAAGCUACCAUCAUCUCUCAUCUGGAUAACUCAAUUACCAACUAACAGGCCUGUCUGCUGGUACAGUCUGUGCUCAAAACAGCAGCCGGAAGGAUUCUUUUCCAAAGUAAGCCAGGUUGCAGCCCUCAUCUUGCUGAGAGUUUAAUCAAAGUCCUUAGCAGUGUCCUGUGAAGCCCACAUAUCCUGACCCCUCAGACUCCUUUGACCUAUUUUCUACUUCCCUCCCCCUCGCUCACUCGGCUCUAGCUACAUGGCUUUUAUCCUGUGACCCCUUUGCUGGAAUGCAAGCUUCACAAGGCAGGGAUCUUUGUCUGUCUGGUUCACUCAUGUAUCCCAAGUACAGUUAGUCCUCCGUAUCCAUGGUUCCACAUCCGUGGAGAUGGAACGGUGGACUGAAAAUAUUUGGAAAAAAAAAAUGCAUCUGAGAAGGAGGGCAAGGGUUGAAUAACUACCUAUUGGGUACCAUGUUUACUAUUUGAGCAAUGGGCUCAUUAGAAGCCCAAAUCUCAGCAUCACAGAAUAUACCCAUAUAACAAACCUGCACAUGUACCAUCUGAAUUUAAAUUAAAAAUAAAAUUUAAAAAUAAAAAAUUUAUAUUGCAUCUGUA
rnacentral:lncRNA from 1 species